GUGCUCAUUUUAUUAGCACUAAAAUUUGAAUGACACGGAAAAUUAACACAGCACCUGCACAAUGAUGGUAUAAAAAUUUGUGAAAUGUUCCUGAUUUUU
rnacentral:snRNA from 1 species